AUUCUUGGCUCUUUUUCCACCCACGCAGGGAAACCAGGAGGAAUUCCAGAAUCAAAGAGAACCGCAUUCCUCUCUACCACAAAGUACUCACACUUGGCAAAUGGCAAAGAUUUGGGUCAUCAUUUUUUAAACGACAGCCAAGCAUUAAAGAGCCCAGGCAGAGAGCAAGUAAAAGAGUCUCCGUGGUUCCUCCCAGCGCUAGUCUGUGGCCUCAACAACAUAGCACGUUGCAGGAAAAAUUCCAAAUUUCUGGGUCCCAAGGGGAGGCAUUACUCAGCAGUCUCAGCGGUGACGGCGUCAGCAGGACAAGAGCCAUUUGCUCCGGGAGGACUUUGAUGUUUCUUUAAAUGGUUUCUGCAUCUAGUCCAAUAGAAUGGAUACGGAAUUAUCUUUAUUACAACCACAAGGAUGUGCAAAUUUAUUUACAGUAUAAAUGGUUCUUUCCACAAGUCCUAGCUGUCAACAACUCUUUAUUUUCCUGGAGUGACUUAGAAGCCAAGAAUGUUUUGUUUCUUAAGCUUCCUACCUAGAGAGGUAAAAUAACAAUCUUGUUAAUGAGAAGACAAAGAAGCUAACUGUUCUGUUUUGCAGCGUUCCUACAGACCGUACCUUUUAAUUGCCUAGUGCUGGCAACUUAACAUACUGUAAUGAGUACAUUGUUCCUCUUUUUUUGUUUGUUUGUUUUUUCUUUUUUCUUUUUUUUCUUUUUUUUUUUUUUGCACAUAGCUCUCUUGAAGUGCGUUAGAAACUGAGUUUGUUGUACAGAGCAGAGAAGAUUCUUAUUAAAAACUGGCGGAAGCAUUUGGAACAAGCGGUUUAUUUUGACUGGUGAGGACUCUGUUUUCCCCAUUGCGGGGGAUUUCGGCUCAUCAAGUUACACCAAUUGACUCUCAGCAUCACUGAGCUUUUUCUUUCACAUCCAGGGUGAGUUUAAGUCAGUGCUUCUCUGGGUCUCACAGGAGUGGACAUUCUAAAGCCAGCAUCUCCUCUGAGUAACUCACUCCCCGAUGAUGGGAGUUUGACUUUUCCUUGGUUAUGAGUUACAGGAUGAAAGUCAGGUGCAAACACUUAUUUCUUCAAGCCAACAAAUCCUAGCACCUCCUCGAUCUCAGAGAAGGUCAGCAGACAUGUGUGUGCCACGUUUCUUCAUCUCAAGAGCUGUGUAUCAUAGUGGGAAACUGGACUUGCAAAUGGCUAUGCAGGAAGAGAAGGCUGUGUGAGUGUCGGCCCCUGGGUAGAGGCUGUCUUUGUUGAAACCGUGGUGCCCCGACAAAAGCCGGAAAGCGAAUCUCCUUCUACUGCACCUGCAGGCUCUGGGCCCAAGCAUGUUCCGGGCGAGAGGAUAUUUAGGGAUUUCUGGGUUUAGCUUUCUCCGUUUUGCCGUUCAGUUCACUCUGGCCCUGGCUGUCUCCAAAGGAGAGGACUGAUACCAUGGGAUUAAGUCCUUAUGUUCAAGCUCCGGUCUGGGAAGCUGAGUCUCCAUCUUUUUCUGAGGCCAAGGCAUUGUUCUGACAACUGCCCUUGACUCCAGUUCCUUCAGGAUGAGGGCCGUGGCUUUUCUUGCCCACUCUUCUGCUCCUGAAUCCUUCCUCGCAGCCUCUAACCACACUGCUAGCCCUCAUCUCUGGCUUGCUGCCAAUUUCCUCUGGCACUAUCCUCCCUAGCUGGCUGCAAACCCACCUGUUGUUUUUUGGGUUUUUUAGAGAUGGGGUCUCGCUCUGUUGCAAUCAUAGCUCACUGCAGCAUCGAACUCUUGGGCUCGACAAUCCUCCCACCUCAACCUCCUAAAUAGCUGAGACUAUAGGUGCCCACCACCACAUCUGGCUUAUUUUUUUAUUUUUUUGUAAGAGAUGGAGUCUCACUAGAUUACCCAGGCUGCUCUCAAACUCCUGGCCUCAAGGGAUCCUCCCACUUCUGCCUCCCAAAGUGCUGGGAUUACAGGCAUGAGCCCCAGUGCCCGAUCGCCACUUGUUUUCUCUUGCUUACUCUCCCUGACCCUGGGCAUCUGCCCUUAGAAAUGUCGUUGUCCCCAGCUGCGCCAGCUCCUGAUCCCACGCUCUGCCUGCUUCAUUUUCUGCUGUUCCCUUCAUCUAUCCUUCUCCCAUCCCUCAAUCCCCCCUCCCCCAGCCAUUCUACCUCUGAUGUGUUAUUUGAUAAUAUGAAUCGGAAUUUGAAAGGACACAGAGGAUUUCAUGUGUAAAGGACGCACUGUUUCCUUUAUUUACUAUUACUGCCGUGCAAUCAGUUGCCCUUUUAAACAAUGAUUCCUCCUUACACAAUGCUCUUUUAAUGUUUUCAUCCCUAUAAGAUGAGUGUUCCUUGAUACAAAUAGCAGUUGCCACUUCCUUUAUGGAUGUAAUGAUUAGAGAAUGUUCCUUUAUAAAAGUUCUCAGCCCUUACUGUGCCUCAUAAUUGCCUGGGAUGCUUUAUAAAACCCUAUGGUCUGGGGCCAGCUGCGGUGGCUCACGCCUGUAAUCCCAGCACUUUGGGAGGCGGAGGCAGGCAGAUUUCGAGGUCAGGAGAUCGAGACCAUCCUUGCUAAAACAGUGAAACCCCGUCUCUACUAAAAUACAAAAAAUUAGCCGGGCGUGGUGGCGGGCGCCUGUAGGCCCAGCUACUCGGGAGGCUGAGGCAGGAGAAUGGCGUGAACCUGGGAGGCGGAGCUUGCAGUGAGCCGAGAUCGCGCCACUGUGCACUCCAGGCUGGGCGACAGAGCGAGACCCCGUCUCAAAAAAAAAAAAAAAAAAAAAAAAAACACAUGGUCUGGGCACCACCUUCAGAUAUUUCAGUUCAAUUGGUCUAAAGUCGGGUUCUGUAUCCAUAUUUUAAAAAUACUCUGGCUGGGCACGGUGGCUCAUGCCUGUAAUCCCAGCACUUUGGGAGGCUGAGGUAGGCGGAUCACCUGAAGUCAGGAGUUUGAGACCAGCCUGAUCAAAUGGUGAAACCUCAUCUCUACCAAAAAUACAAAAAUUAGCUGGGCAUGGUGGCACACGCCUGUAGACUCAGCUACUUGGGAGGCUGAGGCAGGAAAAUCGCUUGAACCUGGGAGGCAGAGGUUGCAACAAGCCAAGAUUGCACCACUGCACUCCAGCCUGGGUGACAGAGCGAGACUCCGUCUCAAAAAAAUAAAAAUAAAGUAAAAAUACUUCUGACAGGGCUUGGUGGCUCAACCCUGUAAUCCCAGCACUUUGGGAGGCUGAGGCGGGCGGAUCACUUGAGGUCAGGAGUUCAAGACCAGCCUGAACAACAUGGUGAAACCCUGUCUCUAUUAAAAAUACAAAAUUAGCCAGGCGUGGUGGCACACACCUGUAAUCUCAACUACUUGGGAGGCUGAGGCAGGAGAAUUGCUUGAACUGGGAGGCGGAGGUUGCAGUGAGCCAAGAUUGCGCCAUUGUUCUCCAGCCUGGGCAAAAAGAGCAAAACUCCAUCUCAAAAAAAAUAAAAAUAAAAAUACUUCCCAAGAGAUGAUAAUGUGCAGCCAGGCCUGAGAUUCACCGAUUUAUCAAAAAAUCUUUCAUGAUAAAAGUGUGUUCAAAAAUUCUGUAAUCCCAGCACCCUGGGAGGCCGAGGAGGGCCGAUCACCUGAGGUCAGGAGUUUGAGACCAGUCUGGUCAACAUGGUGAAACCCCAUCUUUACUAAAAAUACAAAAUUAGCCGGGCAUGGUGGCACUCACCUGUAAUCCCAGCUACCUAGGAGGCUGAGGCAGGAGAAUUGCUUCAACCCAGGGGGCGGAGGUUGCAGUGAGCUGAGAUCAUGCCAUUGCACUCCAGCCUGGGAGACAGAAUGAGACUCCACCUAAAAAAAAAAAAAAAAAAAAAAAAAAAUCAGUUCCUGGAAAUCUUAAUUUAAAGCAGUGGCUCCUAACCAUGUCCUUUUCUGGCAAGGCAAAAGAUCUUAAAGCCCACUCUUCCCCACUCAUUCUAAAUCUGGAGAGACCAAACACUUUGGGAGGCCAAGGCAGGAGAACUGCUUGAGGCCAGGAAUUCAAGACCAGCCUAAGCAGCAUAGUGAAACCAUGUCUCUACAAAAAAUAAAAAACAGGCUGGGCAUGAUGGCUCACACCUGUAAUCCCAGUACUUUGGGAGGCUGAGGCAGGCAGAUCACUUGAGGCCAGGAGUUCAAGACCAGCCUGGCCAACAUGGCGAAACCCCAUCUCUACUAAAAAUACAAACAUUAGCCAGGUGUGGUGGUGGGCACCUAUAGUCCCAGCUACUCGGAAGGCUGAGACAGGAGAAUUGCUUGAACUGGAAGGCGGAGGUUGCAGUGAGCUGAGAUCGUGCCCCUGCACUCCAGCCUGGGCAGCAGAGCGAGACUCUGUCUAAAAAAUAAAUAAAAAGCAAAAUUAGCCAGGUUUGGUGGUGUGUGCCUAUAGUACCAGCUACUCAGGAGGCUGGAGUGGGAUUGCUGAGCCUGGGAGGUUGAGGCUACAGUGAGCUAUGAUCGCACCACUGCACUCCAGUCUGGGUGACAGAGCAAGACCUUGUCUCAAAAAAAAAAUAAAAAAGAAUUGAAAUGUGACACACACAUGAUUUUACAUCCUAAAACAAUGCUACAUAUACUUUAAACAUAAUCCAGAAAUUUUAUGACUUGCUAGUGCUUUACAAGUUAUUUAAAGAACACAACAGUGCUCACUUCGGCAGCACAUAUACUAAAAUUGGAACGAUACAGAGAAGAUUAGCAUGGCCCCUGCGCAAGGAUGACACGCAAAUUCGUGAAGCAUUCCAUAUUUUUUUUUACACCUUAUACAAAAAUCAAUUCAAGAUGGAUUAAAGACUUAAACGUUAGACCUAAAACCAUAAA
rnacentral:lncRNA from 10 species